rnacentral:rRNA from 1 species
UACGUAGGGUGCGAGCGUUGUCCGGAAUUAUUGGGCGUAAAGAGCUCGUAGGCGGUUUGUCGCGUCUGCUGUGAAAACUCGGGGCUUAACCCCGGGCCUGCAGUGGGUACGGGCAGACUAGAGUGCGGUAGGGGAGACUGGAAUUCCUGGUGUAGCGGUGAAAUGCGCAGAUAUCAGGAGGAACACCAAUGGCGAAGGCAGCUCGCUGGGACGGUACUGACGCUGAGGCGCGAAAGCGUGGGGAGCAAACAGG